rnacentral:rRNA from 1 species
CGGACGUGGGUAACCGUGCCUCAUACAGGGGAGUAACAGUUAGAAAUGGCUGCUAAUACCGCAUAAGCACACAGCUUCGCAUGGAGCAGUGUGAAAAACUCCGGUGGUGUGAGAUGGACCCGCGUCUGAUUAGCUAGUUGGCAGGGCAACGGCCUACCAAGGCGACGAUCAGUAGCCGGUCUGAGAGGAUGAACGGCCACACUGGAACUGAGACACGGUCCAGACUCCUACGGGAGGCAGCAUG